GACGAACGCUGGCGGCGUGCUUAACACAUGCAAGUCGAACGGCAGCACGGGGGCAACCCUGGUGGCGAGUGGCGGACGGGUGAGGAAUGCAUAGGAAUCUGCCCAGUUGUGGGGGAUAACGUAGGGAAACUUACGCUAAUACCGCAUACGACCUACGGGUGAAAGAGGGGGACCUUCGGGCCUCUCGCGAUUGGAUGAGCCUAUGCCGGAUUAGCUAGUUGGCGGGGUAAGAGCCCACCAAGGCGACGAUCCGUAGCUGGUCUGAGAGGAUGAUCAGCCACACUGGAACUGGGACACGGUCCAGACUCCUACGGGAGGCAGCAGUGGGGAAUAUUGGACAAUGGGCGCAAGCCUGAUCCAGCAAUGCCGCGUGUGUGAAGAAGGCCUCGGGUUGUAAGCACUUUGUUUGGGUAAGAAAUCCGGUUGGUUAAGUUAACCUGAUCGGGAGUGACGGUACCUAAAAGAAUAAAGCAACCGGCCUAACUUCGCG
rnacentral:rRNA from 1 species